rnacentral:rRNA from 1 species
GCAAGUCCUUAGUACGGCGAGUGAAGCGGUAAAAGCUCAAAUUUGAAAUCUGGUACUUUCAGUGCCCGAGUUGUAAUUUGUAGAAUUUGUCUUUGAUUAGGUCCUUGUCUAUGUUCCUUGGAACAGGACGUCAUAGAGGGUGAGAAUCCCGUUUGGCGAGGAUACCUUUUCUCUGUAAGACUUUUUCGAAGAGUCGAGUUGUUUGGGAAUGCAGCUCAAAGUGGGUGGUAAAUUCCAUCUAAAGCUAAAUAUUGGCGAGAGACCGAUAGCGAACAAGUACAGUGAUGGAAAGAUGAAAAGAACUUUGAAAAGAGAGUGAAAAAGUACGUGAAAUUGUUGAAAGGGAAGGGCAUUUGAUCAGACAUGGUGUUUUUUGCAUGCACUCGCCUCUCGUGGGCUUGGGCCUCUCAAAAAUUUCACUGGGCCAACAUCAAUUCUGGCAGCAGGAUAAAUCAUUAAGAAUGUAGCUACUUCGGUAGUGUUAUAGCUUUUUGGAAUACUGUUAGCCGGGAUUGAGGACUGCGCUUCGGCAAGGAUGUUGGCAUAAUGGUUAAAUGCCGCCCGUCUGAAAACCGGGAACCAAAAAAAAAAAAAAAAAUAAGAUGUAAAAAAAAAAA